GGGGCUGUAUUGGAUUUUGACAGCGAGCAGGAGAGGUCUGUAAGCAUGCAGUGCGUUGCCGAAUAGCACUUUAAUCAUAGGCGGUAAACAGUAACUGGCGAAACAAAUUACGCUCUUGCUGCAUAACUGAAGCACAGUAGGUUAUCUUUAUCCUGCGCAAGGCGCGGGAGCAAGACAUCUCUCAAAUGCCGAGUCCCAAGGCGGUUUGGUUCAGAGGUGUAGGAAUAUUGGGAAUAGUCUGAUCUUGCCGCGAAGUGACGAUGAGAUUUUCAGCGGAUAAGGCGUUGGUUGGUGGCUUCGGUCUUGCCGGCGCACGAAAAUCGAAGGCGAAGAUAAGCAUGUAGAAAGCAUUCAGCUUCCUCGUUUGGACACGGGUUCGACCCCCGUCAGCUCCACA
rnacentral:tmRNA from 1 species